rnacentral:rRNA from 1 species
UACGUAGGGGGCAAGCGUUGUCCGGAAUCAUUGGGCGUAAAGGGCGCGUAGGUGGCCCGGUCAGUUCGUGGUGAAAGCGCGGGGCUCAACCCUGCGUCGGCCAUGAAUACUGCCGCGGCUGGAGCACUGUAGAGGCAGGCGGAAUUCCGGGGUGUAGCGGUGGAAUGCGUAGAGAUCCGGAAGAACACCGGUGGCGAAGGCGGCCUG